rnacentral:rRNA from 1 species
UGCGCAGGCGGAACUUUAAGUCAGUGGUGAAAUCUUGCCGCUUAACGGUAAAAUUGCCAUUGAUACUGAAGUUCUUGAAUAUGGUUGAGGUAGGCGGAAUGUGUUGUGUAGCGGUGAAAUGCAUAGAUAUGACACAGAACUCCGAUUGCGAAGGCAGCUUACUGAACCAUUAUUGACGCUGAGGCACGAAAGCGUGGGUAGCGAACAGGAUUAGAUACCCUGGUAGUCC